CCUACGGGUGGCUGCAGUGAGGAAUAUUGGUCAAUGGGCGCGAGCCUGAACCAGCCAAGUAGCGUGAAGGAUGACUGCCCUACGGGUUGUAAACCUCUUUUAUAAAGGAAUAAAGUGAGGCACGUGUGCCUUUUUGUAUGUACUUUAUGAAUAAGGAUCGGCGAAAUCCGUGCCAGCAGCCGCGGUAAUACGGGGGAUCCGAGCGUUAUCCGGAUUUAUUUGGUUUAAAGGGAGCGUAGAUGGGUUGUUAAGUCAGUUGUGAAAGUUUGCGGCUCAACCGUAAAAUUGCAAUUGAUACUGGCAGUCUUGAGUGCAGUUGAGGUAGGCGGAAUGCGUGGUGUAGCGGUGAAAUGCUUAGAUAUCACGAAGAACUCCGAUUGCGAAGGCAGCUUACUAAACUGCCACUGACAUUGAUGCUCGAAAGUGUGGGUAUCAAACAGGAUUAGAUACCCCAGUAGUC
rnacentral:rRNA from 1 species